UACGUAGGGGGCAAGCGUUGUCCGGAAUCAUUGGGCGUAAAGCGCGUGUAGGCGGCCAUGUAAGUCCGUUCUGAAAGCCCGGGGCUCAACCCCGGGAGGCGGAUGGAUACUGCAUGGCUCGAGUACGGAAGAGGCGAGUGGAAUUCCCGGUGUAGCGGUGAAAUGCGCAGAUAUCGGGAAGAACACCCGUGGCGAAGGCAAUCCCCUGGACCUGUACUGACGCUCAUGCACGAAAGCGUGGGGAGCAAACAGG
rnacentral:rRNA from 1 species